rnacentral:lncRNA from 1 species
GUGACGGCUGCGUGCGGCGGGAAUCAUGGCUGCUCGCAGAGCUCUGCACUUCGUAUUCAAAGUGGGAAACCGCUUCCAGACGGCGCGUUUCUAUCGGGACGUCCUGGGGAUGAAGGUUCUGCGGCAUGAGGAAUUUGAAGAAGGCUGCAAAGCUGCCUGUAAUGGGUAUGAUACCUUGUUUCUUAAAAUCUCCUUUAGGCUCUGACUACACCCGGAUAACAGAAGACAGUUUCUCAAAGUGAGUAUAAAGCAGUGGAAUUAAUUAAGGAGGCAGUAAAUUAGGGAGGCAACUUCAGGAGCGUCGGGAACACAUACUGUUUCUCUGCACUCUCAUGAGUAUAAAGCAGUGGAAUUAAUUAAGAAGGCAGUAAAUUAGGGAGGCAACUUCAGGAGCGUCGGGAACACAUUUCUCUGCACUCUCAUACAACACCUGUGGGACACAAAGGGAUUCUCCAGCUCUCUAACACCAGCCGGCUGUCCUGUUAUUUAAUUGAUUCUGACUCUACCUGGAGUUAAUGUCAGAUCCUGCAAGUUAAGGGCUCAGUCCCAGAAGAUUUU